rnacentral:ncRNA from 1 species
CCUUAUCAAGAGCGGUGGAGGGGCUGGCCCUUUGAAACCCGGCAACCAGUAUAUUUAAUAUACAUUGGUGCUAAAUCCUGCAGCUAAUAGCUGAAAGAUGAG